ensembl:lncRNA
AAAAAGUAGGUGUGCACUAAUUAUUGGGAAAGCACACUCCUCAGCCUCGAGGGAAAACUCUAUGCCUAGAUGCUGGUCAGGAGACUCUGCUCGAUAGUUGAACCUAGGAUUCAGGAGGAACAAUGUGGGUUCCGUCCAGUCUACAUGUGUCAUGUGGACUUGGAGAAGAAUUGUUAUGCCAGAUUAUUUUAUGUAAAUAGUUAAUAUUGGAUUAGAUUAAAUUGGAGAAUAGUUGCACUGUGUAAUCAAGUAUUUUUACUAGAGCUUAAACAACUAAUCGAUAAAAAUCGGUAAUAAUCGUUUAUGAAAAUCGUUGUCAACGAAUCUCAUUAUCGAUUAGUCGGUCUGCGCGCGCACGAGGGAGAUUUACUCACUGCGUUACUUCUGUUCCGAAAACACGCUUCGGAGAGCAAAUACUAAAUUUCUGUCCCAAAUGAAGUACUGUACACUUACACGAUGCACUGUGUACUCUACUGUCUAGUGUGUGGAUUUUAGAAAGGUAAUAUCAUCUCAACUGGAACACUAGCGGGGUUUUUUUACUAACCGGAAGUAUAUGCCGCUUCCUACGUGACGUCAUAUCACGUAAUGCGACGGUGCUAGCUUUAGCCUAAUACCCAGAAUCACCGUACAUGACUCUCUUUUCUCUCAAUGACCAUCAGACGGAGGAGAAAUCGUCAAGGGACUGAGGAACGAAAUCUGCGAGCUCCAAGUCCUCUAAGGCAGAGGAGUAUUUUAUAUUAAACACCGCGGAGAAGAUUUAUAAACUUUAUAAAGCGGAGAUUGUGUAGCACGAACACGACAGUGGUGCUGUCGCGAGUUGCUUUAAAGGUUUAGUUUAAUUUAAGUUUAUUGACAUUAUAUGCUGUAUCAGUGUAACUUAUGUUCUUUAUUAUAACGGAAGUGAUGUGUUAGUAAUGAGGCCGCGUUGCUCCUCACGCGCGGUGUAGAGGCGCUGAUACUGAGUGCAGUUUCUGAUACUCAGUCCUCGGGGAAAUGCUGUUACAGAAUGCAAUUUAUUUACAGACAUUUAGUUUUCUUCAUAUUUUUUUAUUUGAAUUUUUUUGAGUUAUUUUGCCAUAUUUUUCUCAUCUUUGUCCACUUAAAUUUUUUCACAAGUGUGCACUGGAUUUAUGGAUGUUAGUCACCUUGCACCAAACACCAAACUUUGGGACAAGUACUUUCACAUCCCACUGCCAUAUUUUCUAUGUUAAAGUUGCUUUCCGUCACCCAUCUGUCAACACACCCCUUUCAGGGUCACGGGGAACCUGGAGCCUAUCCCAGGGAGCAUGGGGCACAAGGCGGGGUACACCCUGGACGGAGUGCCAAUCCAUCGCAGGACACAAUCACACACACAUUCACACUCACACACCCAUUCAUACACUACGGACACUUUGGACAUGCCAAUCAGCCUACCAUGCAUGCCUUUGGACUGGGGGGAACACGGGGAGAACAUGCAAACUCCGCACACAGGGUAGCGGCAGGAGUUGAACCCCCAAACCUGGAGGUGUGAGGCGAACAUCCAAUUAUAAAUAUUAACAAACAUUUUGUUUUACCCUAAAUUUCUUUUGCUGAUUAACCUACUUCACAAUAUAUAGUAAAUUAUACCUCAAACAGGUGAAUAGGGGUGAAGUGAAUGUGUUUAGUUUCCUUUGGAUCUCAGCAUUCUUCACAUUCCCUCUACUGGAUCAUAUUUAAAGAAUGAUUCCCAUUACAUUCAACCCUAUCACCCCCCCCCCCCCCCCCAAAAAAAAAAAAAAAAAAACAAAACUUUCUUGCCCCAGCUGCUUCAACAUAAGAGUAGUAAGCCCUUACCCUAGAGACUUUGUUUAAACUUUGCUUCAUAGAUCUCCAAGAUUCCAGUCCUGAAAAGAGGUCAUUGUGAUUGAUAGUUCAAGCGGAUGAAGCCAAUUGUAAAUAAAAAGAAAGCAGUUGACUUGGACAUUCAGAAAAUCAAUGGACUAAGUUAUAAGAAUGUAGCAAAAUGGUCAGAAAAAAUAGGAAAAAUCUGUUUCUGAUGGUAUCUCCAAAAUAAUCUCACACGUGUAGGUGAUGGUGAAUGCUUUUUAUUGUUUUAUUCAUUUAUUGAUUUAUUUAAGCUUAUUUGUAUUUUUUAUUUAAUUGAUGCUUUAAAUUACUUUUUAUUGUAUCUAAUGUGUUUGGUACUGUAAGUAAAGAAGACUUGACUUAAAAUCUAAAUUCUCUAGAAUUAAAACCAUCAAAGCCACUUUUCCCCUAUGCUUGUGUUUUAAGUUACUAGGACAGCAUGCAAAAGUGUUUGCACCUAAGAUUUAG